AUUGAACGCUGGCGGCAGGCCUAACACAUGCAAGUCGAACGAGUGGCGGACGGGUGAGUAAUGUCUGGGAAACUGCCCGAUGGAGGGGGAUAACUACUGGAAACGGUAGCUAAUACCGCAUACCAUCGGAUGUGCCCAGAUGGGAUUAGCUUGUAGGUGAGGUAACGGCUCACCUAGGCGACGAUACCUAGCUGGUCUGAGAGGAUGACACGCAACACGGGAACUGAGACACGGUCCAGACUCCUACGGGAGGCAGCAGUGGGGAAUAGUGCACAAUGGGCGCAAGCCUGAUGCAGCCAUGCCGCGUGUAUGAAGAAGGCCUUCGGGUUGUAAAGUACUGUCAGCGGGGAGGCGUUACCCGCAGAAGAAGCACCGGCUAACUCCGUGCCAGCCGCCGCGGUAAUAC
rnacentral:rRNA from 1 species